GGCUCAGAUUGAACGCUGGCGGCAGGCCUAACACAUGCAAGUCGAGCGGUAGAGAGAAGCUUGCUUCUCUUGAGAGCGGCGGACGGGUGAGUAAUGCCUAGGAAUCUGCCUGGUAGUGGGGGAUAACGUUCGGAAACGGACGCUAAUACCGCAUACGUCCUACGGGAGAAAGCAGGGGACCUUCGGGCCUUGCGCUAUCAGAUGAGCCUAGGUCGGAUUAGCUAGUUGGUGGGGUAAUGGCUCACCA
rnacentral:rRNA from 1 species